rnacentral:rRNA from 1 species
UACAGAGGGGGCCAGCGUUAUUCGGAAUUAUUGGGCGUAAAGGGCGCGUAGGCGGCCCGCUAAGUCAGACGUGAAAUCCCUCGGCUCAACCGGGGAACUGCGUCUGAUACUGGCAGGCUUGAAUCCGGGAGAGGGAUGUGGAAUUCCAGGUGUAGCGGUGAAAUGCGUAGAUAUCUGGAGGAACACCGGUGGCGAAGGCGGCAUCCUGGACCGGUAUUGACGCUGAGGCGCGAAAGCCAGGGGAGCAAACGGG